rnacentral:misc_RNA from 1 species
GUCGUAACAAGGUUUCCGUAGGUGAACCUGCGGAAGGAUCAUUAACACCUGUCCGAACGUUAAAACCCCCCCCGUGAACCUUCAUCGUGCUCCCCCGGAAAGUUGUAGUGAUUCAGAGACCUCUGGCUACGUGCGAACAUUGGAACAGUUACAAUCGAGCGGUAGUUCUAUAGGCAAUGUUUCCCCAAGCAGUCAGUGUCGGAAAGUGUCAUUGAUUGUGCAAGGAUAGCGCUUCUACGAUUCCUGUAGACCGUACACUCGGGCAGGAGCUUUGCCAAAGGGUCCCCAUGCCCCCUAAUAACCCCACAGUUUAAUGUGAAGCUCAAUGUAAUACAUUGGGUAAAAAAACCGAACAACUGUUAACAAUGGAUAUCUUGGUUCUC